rnacentral:pre_miRNA from 1 species
AGCCUUCUAUAUCCAUGCUGAGAUUUCGUCAUACACCAAACCACAAGGGCUGAUGAGACUCCCG